UACAGAGGGGGCAAGCGUUGUUCGGAAUUACUGGGCGUAAAGGGCGCGUAGGCGGUCUUGUCAGUCAGGCGUGAAAGCCCUGGGCUCAACCUGGGAUGUGCGUUUGAUACUGCAAGGCUUGAGUGCAGGAGAGGAUGGUGGAAUUCCCAGUGUAGAGGUGAAAUUCGUAGAUAUUGGGAAGAACACCGGUGGCGAAGGCGGCCAUCUGGACUGCAACUGACGCUGAGGCGCGAAAGCGUGGGGAGCAAACAGG
rnacentral:rRNA from 1 species